CAUCCCACUUGCAAAUAGACUUUCCAAACAUCUGGAGGAAGCCGUGGAAACACAAACAGGUAAACUAUAAACAAUUGUGAUAGCUGAGAUUGUCUCAAACCAUCAUCUGUGUUUACGCUUAUGGGAGCUAAUCCUGGAGACUAUAAAAUGCGGUUAACCUCGCUAAACAAGAUUAAGCCAAUAUGUACGUAUAAAUCAUUACUCUGAUUUCAUUAUUCUCAGUCCAGUAGAUCCCUCUUUCCAUACCUAAUUAUAGAUGCACCAGCUACAUUGGAUCAGCAUUGUGAUCUCCAUGACUCUUAGAUCCGAAGCAGAAUCUUUUGACUUUGGGAGGCAACUCAACCAGAAAGGCCAAUCUGAAUAUAUUUAUGAAGGAGCCGCACUUUCAAAUGGGAUGAAACCCUUCUGCUGGAAAAAGAAAUAUGGCGGGAUGAGGAACCUACAGCCCUCUCCAUAUUGCCUGGAUUUCCAUACCUGUUAGCCAGUAAAGCCAAGCGGACUUGAUCAGGCACAUAGAUUUCCUGGCUACAGUCAUCCCCCCUUUGGACUAGAACGAGAAACAACAUUGAUUUCAGAGGGGAAUCAAUCAAGGCAGGUUGGUGAUGGGGGCACCACCCGCCCCUCCUUGCAAGGGAGGGUCAUGAACUUGGCCAGGCAGAGUGGCAAGGCUGGCACCAGCCAACUUCUCUUUGCUAACUUCCGCUCUGUUCUUUGUCAAGAAACAAACCCUCCAUUAAAAUCUCACACCACUAGAGGACACUCAAAGCCUUCAUUUCUUUUCUCGAAACUGGAAUUGCCCAACUGAUUCUGCAGCCUGCGAUUGAAUUCUUCCACUGCAAAAAACAUAUAUAGGGCCCACCAAGUCAAGAAAUAUGAGGUUUGCCUCUGAGAAUGAACCGAUGUUGUUGCACAGAUUUCUGAGGGUUCCCCCCCCAAGAGGCUUAGGGUUAGGUAGGAAUUGGGCUUACCAUUCCUUAGCACAGUUGCAUCUUUAUGAAAUAAAGUUAUGUGUUAAAUUGAGCUCGCUGAUGAUGUUGAUACCCCAUCUCUAUCCUCUACCCAGGCAAGCAAAAUUAUCAAAGUUGAAAGACAUAUUCCAGCCAGGCAAAAACACUCAAGGAAGGUGCAAAGCGGAGCUGCUGAGAAGAGUGGCCUGGGGAGAGUGGAUGUGGCCGCGGAGAGUCCUAAGGGCUAGCUAAAGAGACCUGGGGGGGCUGCAUUUCCCCCCUUCCCUUUUCCAAUCAGGCCUGAGGUUCCCCAUCCAUGAGAAAAAUAAUUCAACACAGCUGUGCUUUUCGACUUGCAGGGGGUUGGGGACAUGGUUGUUACAAUGAGCUUCUGCUAUGGAUAGAUGAAUCUGUCAAUUUCUGCUCCCCUCAGCUGGUUAUUUUUCCAAUCUUUAAUUCAGUUUUCCACAUUUUCACAUCAGUUUGCCUUUAACAAACCAUCCACGUGAAAAUUUGACUAUAUAUUUGCCCCCUU